rnacentral:lncRNA from 1 species
AGGAAUAUAAAGACAGGAAACCACUGUAACACUGCAGCUUGAAUUCUGGGAGGUAGUACUUUCAAAUAAUUCUUUAUAAUGGUAAUAAAUUUACUGGAUCCACCCCACAUUUAUCAGGCCUUUCCUAGGUGGACUGACAUCAUCACUUAAAUGGAAAUCCCUGUCUUCAUUUAUUAGUUAAGGUACAUUGCUCCUCGGGGAACAGAUAAGCCUGUGACACAGUGGAGCAAAGUGUCUGGAAUCUGAUUUUCCAAUGGACAUUCCCAUAUGUUUGAACAAAAGAGUCAUAAAUACUAACUAUAGCACCUAUUUUACAGAAGCUGAACUAAAGACACAGAAGCCUUCAAAUGGAAAGGAUAUACAACAGAAACCACAGCUGUGCGGAAGACCACCCAGGUACAUGGUCGUGGGUGAAAUGACUAGAAGAUUAGAAUCCUCUGGAGCCCAGAGCUCAACACAUGGGUGUCUAGCUCCGAACAAUUUUAAAUCCCACAAAUGACAGAGAAUUUGGUUUUCAACUUUUUUAUACGCGAUUUUUUUUGUAACAGCUAACAUUUCUUGCAUACCCACAUGGAAAGAAAGAAAAAGAUGACCUGGCCUCCUUGUAAACGUGUGAAUGGCAUACACAUACAGCACCUUUACCAGAAAAGAGGUCUAAGAGUUCGGAUGGCAAACAAACUAGAAUCUCUGAAUUUAUGGGAUAUUUCAGGUGACCCAAUGCCAAAAAGCAUCUCAUCUUCUAGUAGUUGUGGAAUCUUCUGGAAAAGAGAUCCAAAUCAACUGGCUUCCUUGUCCCCUCUCCAUGUGUGACACGGAGCAGCACCCACUUCCAGUGUAGCUCCCCUUUCAGGGGAGGGCUACAAAGGCUGUUUUCCUCACAAGAGUUCCUACAGCUGAUGUGACUUCAGAGACUCCUGUAGACUAUGGAAACAGGGUGGUGAAGCGUCUCCUGAUGGAGCGCACUGCAGAAAGCAGGGUUGUCUGUGGCUGUAAAUUAUUUCACUCUUUGCUCUCAUCCCAGAGAAACAGUGUUAGGGUAGCACCUAAAUCUGCAAAUCCAAGAGCCUUGCCCCUCAGAUAAAUGAGCGUUGCCUCUGCCUUCCUUGAAAGGAGCUGGGGCACAGGUCACUGCCACCAUCCUCCUUCCUGGCUCCCUAGUCUUUUUCUUUCCCUGAAUUCAGUAUUUUCACCUCUCUUCUUUCUGCUUAUUCUCUAGAAGCUCUUUGUCCAGUCCUGAAGCAACUGCGAUGGUUUCUAGGUGAUUCUGAGGGAAGGGUGACAUGUCAUUGUCUGGAAGUUUUGUGUAAGGCUACGGGUGGGGCAGUGAAAUGGGUUAGCUCCACUGAGCAUUUAAUGAUCUAAUUAGAACUUGGAUGAACCAAAAUAUUUUUUAAAAUCAUGUGGAUUGUAUUAGAUGGCUUCAUAUUUAUAACUAUCUGAAAUGGACAAGCCUCUAACACUGAGGAAGCCUUUUGGGGUGAAAGCCGAGAAGCUGCCUUAAUGCCAAGGCACACCUGAGCACAGGUAACAACAGCCAGGUGCUCUGGAUGUCCACCUACGUCCCUCCAAAGAUCAUCACAAUGCAUCCCUCAUGCCCCACAUCAUUGCUUCAGAGGCUCAAGCUGCCUGUCAUUCUUAUCACCCAAACUGUCAGUCCCAUAUGGGUCCAUACGUUUCCUAAUAUCAGCCAAUUUCCAUGCUUCCCUCUCUCCUAAGCCUUUUUUCUGUGUCCCCUGAAAUUCCUGUUCAUGAUAAACUAACUGCCCUGUAUAAUCAGCCUUUUGAAAGGUUUCCCUGUCCACACUGACUUAACUGAAACUGAUCCAUCUCCCUUGCAACCUUUUCAAGUGAAGGCUGCUUUUCAUUUCAUAUUCACAUCUUUCAAGGCCAGAGGUGAAGAUGGUUGUCCCUUGGCUCCUUAACGACGCCCCCAAAUGCUUGGGUUCCUCUCCCUUGCAAAACCCACCACUCCUUUGAGACCCAUGCUUCACCCUCACCUCCUCACUGCUGCCCCCUGAUCUCCUGGAUGCAGCCCCUCAUUCUUGAAGACUGUAGCUUCAGGCUGUUCUCACCUUUUCUCCGAUUCUUGUCAUCAUUCUGGGGACUUGAACUCCUGUAUGAAUAAGCCACCAUCAAUCUAUUCUUUCUGUUUUACCUUCUCAUCCUGCUGACCUUUUUCUCAUCCUUCUAUUCGCACGGUCCAUCCCCAGGCUCUGUCAUCCUGAGAAACUGUACCACCUCUGAAAUCCCAAUUCCAAAUAUGUCUCUUUCUGAUGAUCACCUCUUAUCUUUCCAAAUCUCUUGCUAAAGUAUGAACAUUGCUUAAAUUCUUCAACUUCAUCAAGACGUCUAAUUAAUUGGCCCCAUAUUUCCUCUCCAGCCAUGGGCCUCUCCAGGCCCACCUUCCUUCCUGGUCUGACAGCUUCUGUCAUCUACCACCAGAAGCAUUGCCUGGAAAACACAGAUUUCCGUGGUCUUCUUUAUCUGAUGGCAAAAUUCCACGCCUGGAAAACAUCACCUCCACCUUCCCUGGGCGUGUAGCCCUGCAGCUGGACACAAUGGCACGAUGACUUUCUCUUAAAUAAUGGACCACAAACUUCAAAUGGGCAUUUACAACUUCCUCAAGAUUGUAUUGUGUUUCUCCAGUGACAUGUUCUCUCUUCUUUCUUCCCCUCAACCCGCCGAAAAAAGGGGUGAAAUAAAAAAGAUGAAAUGAGGAUAGUUACAAAAGCAUAGGAGAUAGAAGUUUUCACAUAGCAAGGGUAAGAAAUAUUUUUAUAAAUGUUGGUAAUAGUUAUGAUAAUUAGUAGAAUUAGGAUAACAGUGAAGUAGUUAUAGAAGAAAAUGAAUUUAUUACUUUUAUCUGGAGUUGCACCAAUUUUUUGGUUCCUAAGACCAAUGUAGGUAGGACCUGCCUCUCUCCAGCCAUCCAUACUUUAUAUUUCACUGAGGAGAGAGGAAUCAUGGCUGAUGUCCUGAUGUGCUCAACAGAUGUUUCCUAAGCACACUCUAAGUGUCAAGUACUCUUCUAUGUGGAAGACGCAGCAGUGAAAAAUGACAUCUUCCUUCGUGGAGCCAUCAUACUGCAUCUCUCCUCUUCACAUCCCUGCAACUAUGAACACACCUGCACCUGCACUCACCCUCUCCAGCCCCUCUCACAACACAAAAAGUGGCCUUCCUCCUGUUAGGGGCCGAUUCCUCCCUCUCUGCUGGAUCUGAGCCCUUCUUGCCUUCCAAAGUACUUCCCUUCUUCAGUUCUUGGAUCUCUCUCUCAAAUUACCGGUAAUUCAUCUCUGUGGAAUCCUUCCUGUGAGUGUAAAACAAGUUCUGGCCCUUCGAUCUUUAAAGAACUGUCUUGUGGUUGCUGCAUUUCUCUUUCUCUUCAUAGCAAACCCUCUAGAAGGAAUUAUCCUCCCCUUCUGUUCACUCUUCAUCCCAUAAAACUCUGGCUCCUGUCUUUACGCAUCCCCCAAAACUGCUCAUUAUGGUCAUUCGUGACUUUUGCCACAGUGUCACAGGCGAAGGACGCUCCCUGACCUCAUCUUCUGCAAACUCUCAGUAGCAUUCAACACAAAUCACCAUUCCUCCUCUGGAAGGCCCGCCUUCUCAGCUUCCCCAACACCAUAAAUCAGCAUUCCUCCUCUGGAAGCCCCACCUUCUCAGCUUCCCAAACACCAUAAAUCAGCAUUCCUCCUCUGGAAGCCCCGCCUUCUUGGCUUCCCCAACACCAUAAAUCAGCAUUUCUCCUCUGGAAGGCCUGCCUUCUCGGCUUCCUCAACACCAUAAAUCGCCAUUCUCCUCUGGAGGACCCGCCUUCUUGGCUUCCUCAACACCACAAAUUGCCAUUCCUCCUCCGGAAGGCCCGCCUACUUGCCUUCUCAGCUUCCUCAACACCAUAUGGCCCUGGAUUGUCUUCUACUUUCCUUGAGGUUCCUUCUUGGUCUCCUUUGUUGGUUGCUGCUCUUUACCCAAUUUCCAAACACUGGUGUUCCUUACGGUUCAUCCAAUCACGGUCUCUCCUUUCUUGGCUUCUUCUGAGAAUCCCCAUGGGUUUAAAAUUUCCUCUACAUGCUGGUAAUUCCAAAGUUAUCUCUCCAUCUCGGACCUCAGGUCUCACUGUCCUCCAAGCUCUCACUCACACAUCCAAGUCCCGACUUAUCUCCUUCUCCAUGCUUCAGGCAUAGCAAAUGUGUUCAGAAUUGAAGCUCAGAUCCCAUGCCUCUGAUCUCACCUGCCCCAUUUUGCUCAUCUCAGUCAAAUAGAACUUUCAAACUCCUUCCUUUCCCUGACCCACAGCCAGUCAGUCACCAAGUCCUUGAAUUCUGCCUCUCAAGAUUCACUUCUUUUUGUCUCCGCUGCCAACUGUCUUAAUCCAGAGCCUCUCCAUAUUGCAACAAGAUUGACAUACUCAAAAUGUAAUUUGGAUAAUGCUAACCCCUUGCUUAAACCUUCAAGGAUUUCCCACUAAACUCAGAACAAAACCCAUAUGCUUAACCCUGGUGUCCUUGGUCCAGGUGGCCUUCAUCUUUUGGCACUGUCCUUCCUGCUCAGUAUUUUCCAGCCACCUUGGUUUAAUUUAGUGUCUUGAAUAAAGCAAGCUCUUCACCUCCUUGGGGGCACUGGAUGUGUGCUUUCCUCUGCUUGGGAUGCUCUUCUGCCCACUCCCAUAAUGCUAGCUCCUUCAAUAGCUGGUGUCCCCUCAACGCUUAGUCUCAGGGCUCCUCAACUACCCCUCAUCUAAAGUAGGUGACAUCCCUAUUUGUUUUCAUCCUAGCAUCAAUUAUGAUCAGUAACUGUGACUUCCUCAUUUACUAUUUUAUCCAACACUAGCACAAUAAUAGUACAAGAAAGUAUUCAAUACAUUUUUGUUGAAUGGAUAAAGGUUAUUUCCAUAAAAUUUCAGUGAUUAAACCUAAGGUGGAGGAAGCUGGUAUAAAUGGAGGUACUUCUGAAAUGCAAUUGGUUCAAAGGCCCUACAAACCUAUUGACUCCAGACAUCAUACCUGAUUUCUGAAGGGCUCACCUGGAACUGCAGAGUGACUUUAGUUUCCUACAAUGUGAUAAUGUCUUUGCCAAAGAAUUUGGACUAGGGGGAAGGAGUGUUGAAAGGUGCUAUAUGAAUAUGAAUUGUGAACACAAAUCAGAGAAGGGGCUAAGAAGCUAAUAUAAAUGUAUUAUUUUAAGGAGUUUAUUUUUAUUUUGGGAAGGCAGUGAUACAUAGUGUUUAAUUUUUAAUCCAAAUCUAAAAAAUCAAGAUACCUACUAAAGAUCAACGAAAACAGAAAGGAACCACAUACAAAGAAAUUAGAGGUCUGCUGUGGGUCUCUGCCAUACAGUAAUGAAUUAGUAAUUAACCAGCAUUUUUGUAGGUUUUAUCAACUCACUUUCUAAGUGAGUAUUACGCUUACUUUACUGUCUAUUUUGUUGCCACUAUGUAAAGCUGGAAUAUAAACAGCAUUUAAAAUCAGAGGAAUUUUAGUAUAGCACAAUAUUUGCAACUUACUUGGCAACCUAUUUAUUUACAAAUAUUCUAAGAGAUGAUUGAGCUUCACUCUCCCUUGUCUACAAAAAGCUAAGUUAGAGAAACAAAAAUGAUUUGUCCAAGGAUGCUUGUAACAGACAUUAAUAUAAACAUUUUAUUUUAUCAAGUGAUAACAGUUGCCUCAAGCAUCCAGUGAGAUCCCAAGAGUUUCACCAGCUCCUGGAGCAGUUGCCCCCACCGCUGGCAGGAAUGCUGGGACAAGAGCUCUCUGCUUCCUCUCGGGAGCCUCAUUGCCACCAUCUGCCUAGAGGCCAGUAGGUCUUGUCAUGAAUAAUCAGGAUAUAAACGUCCCUGACUGAUAUGCCCUGUUCACGACAGUCACCAAAGAAUGCCUGACUCCUGUUCCAUCUCUCCAGGCUGAGCCCCAAGCUCCACAUCCACUCUGUGUAUCCUUUUUCCUACCACAUAUUCCAGCUGCCCCAAACCCUGAGACCCUUCCCCCAUGCUUGGGGAACUCAUGGGCAAUCAGCAGUAACUGCCCUAUGACUGCAAUCUGCUUUCUCAAUGUUUUUCUUACAUUCUUCCCUAACUGAAACAGGCGUGUCCCUGAGGACACUACUUCGCCUGCAGCACCCUCAAAUGUUUUUGUGUCUGCAAUCCCAGUACCACAAAGCAUUGCUCUACAGUGUUCUGCUGUAUUAAUCCAAACAUCCUUGCUGGGUCAGCUUCUAGUGGCUAUGAGACUAUCCAUCUUCCAAUGAGGUGCCAGGGAAGAAUCAGUCUCAUUGAUAAUGAGACACGAUCAGAAAUUUUCAUUUCACAAAUAAUAUUAUCCUUAUUGGCCGGAGGUGAAUUCCAAGUAAAUAUUCAUUGAUUCUUCAUCGAACAACUCUUGAGUGUACACUUACUAUGCGUAACGCCAGGGGCCAUAGAGAAAUCAUAAAUGAAUCAGACAGGGAUUCUGCCUUCCUGGAGCUUGCAGAAGAAAUAAGACGCACACCAACAAACCAAGUAGAUGUAGAAAGAGCCAAGUGAGCAGAGAGCAACCAAAGAGGUAUAAAAAAAGAAAAAGAGGAGGUGGCUUGGAAUCAAAGAGGCCAAAGCCUGGAGUGUUUGAGGAAUCCAAGCAGCUGCUUGGCUGCAGAUGAGAAUUGAAAGCACCUGCAUACACACAGCCUACCUACUGGGGCUGAGAACUGAGACCACUGAGACCUAAUUAUUUGUUCCAGAAGAAUUCUGCCCUGGAAGAUAAGCUUGUAAAGCAAUAAAUAACUUCACUGUUUGCUUCAAGAAACUCCUGCAAAUAAUUUAACCAGACAGUUUGCUCAUCUGAGUAGCCAUCUCUCUUAACAGGAAAUCAGACGGUUCACCUGGGCAAUAAUAGCUCUUGUAUAAGACAACAGUUUCCUUAUGAAGGCUUCCUUAGGACUUUGUCUCACUGUGUCCACUGACCCCAAACUACUAUGUCAUUGAUCUGCUCAACUCCAAUCAGUUUCCCACUUGAAAGAUCUGCAAUAAGCGCUUAAGCCCAGAUCCCCAGGCUCUAUGAACACCCUCCCCUGACCUCUCUUUCCUGUGACACCUCCAUGACUGUCCACACGAUGGUGUCACUUCCUGCACUAGAUCUAAUCAGCGCUGCUCUGCAAUAGAUUUUCUGUGGUCAUUUGGGAGGUUUGAGACAGAGGACAAGGUAGAACAUGCAGUAACAAAAGAUGAAAAACACUUCUCAUUUUUCUUAUUUGUAUGUCAUUACAAUGUCAAAACAACUUAAAUAUUUUGAAUUGUGUGUAUAUUCUUG